ensembl:lncRNA
GCAAGUAACGGGCUAGCAGUUCCAGAGGCCUCCUCUGACAAGGUGAUGGAGAUGUGUGGAGCGGGUGGGAUAGGUAAGAGAGGAGAGGUUAUGAUAAAGAGCAGAUCUAGCCCAAGGCCUGUAGUAUCUGCAGGAAGAGAUUCGAACAGGUACAGGCAAGGAGUAAACACAUUAUUAGUAAUUAGGAGUCAAAAGCGCCGCACUCAGCCGCCCCCAAAGACUCCCUUGUCUUUGUCCUACUCGUCUUUGUGCGGCGAGUCUUCUCAGGCGCUGAGCUAACGCUUCAUCCAAGCUCUAGUUCAUUCUUGACCUCGGAAAGAGCAAAAACCCUUUCUUGUGAAACCCUUAUUUUAUAUUUGUGUGUGUGUGUACAUUUUUGUGCCACUUACGUGAGAGACAUGAGCAGCCUAAGUAUGUUUCCUGCUGUCAGGCCCCCCCUUCAGGCUGUCAGAGUGUCCGGACUGAACUCUGAGUGGACGCUGCAGGGCCUUGGCUUUUGGUCUUGAUGUGCUACUUUAGUCAUUGGCUGGAGGCUAUGAAUCAAGGCCCUUUUGUAAUGUGGCUAAUUUUCCUGCAGUUUGACCUUUUCUAACUUGUAUAUGAUGUUUUUAAAUGUUUUUUAUAACACCACACUGUAAAUAAUUGAAAAAUAAUCCAUUUUUAGGCCUUUGCUCUGCUUCCAAUCACCUCCUAAACUAAUCUUUGAUUUGACAGAUUAUGUUGUUUUUUGUGAUUGUAAUUUUACAACACAACUUUAAUGAUGACACAAUUUAGCCUUACAUCUAAAUUAGCUUGAAUUGUAUCAGUACAUCUUCAGUGUUUGAUUGUAUACAGCUUUAAAAUGCAGAAAGGUCAGCAUUUAUGUUUUAUUAUGCACCCGGAAAUAUAAUAAGUAAGUCAACCUUGCUGAAUUCAUUAACAUAAUAAUAUGAAGGCAUGACGUGUGUGUUAAAACUAUACCAUGUACUAUAGACAUUCUGGAGAUUGCUCAUCAUGCAUUUGUCCUUCAUACAGAGUGGAAUGUUCAAUUCAGUUUUUGCUCUGUUUGACAUGUAUUUCUGCGGGCAUGCCUGUCACUGUUAGUAAUUUAGUAUUUUAGCACCAACUUACUGUUUGUAACUUAAAUUGUAUUUAUAAUUGUUCAGAAUCUGGAUCUGCUGGCCAGUCCAUCCUUUCCUUUUGAAUUAACUUUACUGUAUUCAUGCUAGGACACCAGGAAACAUCCACUUGUGAGGUUGUAGUUUUUUCAUACAAAUCAUUGCGUUGCCUUGUUUUGCGGUCUUUGCAGCACUUUGCAAGUCAGACCUUUUUAUGUGCAUUGUUUGUACAUUAAAUGUUUCUCUGUUGUGCAAGAGAGCAAACGUUGAAGUGUAAAUACAAUUUUUGCAGUUCUCUAGUAAGGGCAGAUAUUGUGAUGCAUCUCUGAUUCAAAGCUUUGCACAAAGACCCUCAAACAGAGUGGGGCUUUGAAACAAUGUACUUUAUGAACUAACAGUAUGUGGUGUGAUGGCAAAAGAAAGUUUAGAAAAAGUUUGGAAGUUUAAGACUUUUGAAAUGAGGAAACUUUUAAUUUGGAAUGAAAUGAUGAAGACACAUCAGGGAAAGGUGAUCUGAGAUGAAGAAAUGAAACCUGUUUUAAGUUUAUUUAAUUUAAGUUUUCCAAAGGAAAGUAGCGAUGUCUGGAGGGGUGUUUCAACAGUUACUAAUUUUAAAUGAGUGAAUAUGUAAUAAAUGAAAACCUUUUGCUGA